GACGAACGCUGGCGGCGUGCUUAACACAUGCAAGUCGAGCGGUAAGGCCCUUUCGGGGGUACGACGAGCGGCGAACGGGUGAGUAACACGUGGGUGACCUGCCCUUAGCUCUGGGAUAAGCCUGGGAAACUGGGUCUAAUACCGGAUAUGACUCCAUGACGCAUGUUGGUGGGGUGGAAAGCCUUGUGCGGCUAGGGAUGGGCCCGCGGCCUAUCAGCUUGUUGGUGGGGUGAUGGCCUACCAAGGCGACGACGGGUAGCCGGCCUGAGAGGGCGACCGGCCACACUGGGACUGAGACACGGCCCAGACUCCUACGGGAGGCAGCAGUGGGGAAUCUUGCGCAAUGGGCGAAAGCCUGACGCAGCGACGCCGCGU
rnacentral:rRNA from 1 species